GUAGGUGGCAAGCGUUGUCCGGAAUUAUUGGGCGUAAAGCGCGCGCAGGUGGUUCUUUAAGUCUGAUGUGAAAGCCCCCGGCUCAACCGGGGAGGGUCAUUGGAAACUGGGGAACUUGAGUGCAGGAGAGGAAAGUGGAAUUCCACGUGUAGCGGUGAAAUGCGUAGAUAUGUGGAGGAACACCAGCGGCGAAGGCGACUUUCUGGCCUGUAACUGACACUGAGGCGCGAAAGCGUGGGGAGCAAACAGGGAUUAGAUACCCUGGUAGUCCACGCCGUAAACGAUGAGUGCUAAGUGUUGGGGGGGUUUCCCGCCCCUCAGUGCUGCAGCUAACGCAUUAAGCACUCCGCCUGGGGAGUACGGCCGCAAGACUG
rnacentral:rRNA from 1 species